rnacentral:rRNA from 1 species
GAUUAAGUUAUUAAGGGCGCACGGUGGAUGCCUUGGCACUAGAAGCCGAUGAAGGACGUUACUAACGACGAUAUGCUUUGGGGAGCUGUAAGUAAGCUUUGAUCCAGAGAUUUCCGAAUGGGGAAACCCAGCAUGAGUUAUGUCAUGUUAUCGAUAUGUGAAUACAUAGCAUAUCAGAAGGCACACCCGGAGAACUGAAACAUCUUAGUACCCGGAGGAAGAGAAAGAAAAUUCGAUUCCCUUAGUAGCGGCGAGCGAAAUGGGAAGAGCCCAAACCAACAAGCUUGCUUGUUGGGGUUGUAGGACACUCUAUACGGAGUUACAAAGGACGACAUUAGACGAAUCAUCUGGAAAGAUGAAUCAAAGAAGGUAAUAAUCCUGUAGUCGAAAAUGUUGUCUCUCUUGAGUGGAUCCUGAGUACGACGGAGCACGUGAAAUUCCGUCGGAAUCUGGGAGGACCAUCUCCUAAGGCUAAAUACUCUCUAGUGACCGAUAGUGAACCAGUACCGUGAGGGAAAGGUGAAAAGCACCCCGGAAGGGGAGUGAAAUAGAACCUGAAACCGUGUGCUUACAAGUAGUCAGAGCCCGUUAAUGGGUGAUGGCGUGCCUUUUGUAGAAUGAACCGGCGAGUUACGAUUUGAUGCAAGGUUAAGCAGUAAAUGUGGAGCCGUAGCGAAAGCGAGUCUGAAUAGGGCGUUUAGUAUUUGGUCGUAGACCCGAAACCAGGUGAUCUACCCUUGGUCAGGUUGAAGUUCAGGUAACACUGAAUGGAGGACCGAACCGACUUACGUUGAAAAGUGAGCGGAUGAACUGAGGGUAGCGGAGAAAUUCCAAUCGAACCUGGAGAUAGCUGGUUCUCUCCGAAAUAGCUUUAGGGCUAGCCUCAAGUGAUGAUUAUUGGAGGUAGAGCACUGUUUGGACGAGGGGCCCCUCUCGGGUUACCGAAUUCAGACAAACUCCGAAUGCCAAUUAAUUUAACUUGGGAGUCAGAACAUGGGUGAUAAGGUCCGUGUUCGAAAGGGAAACAGCCCAGACCACCAGCUAAGGUCCCAAAAUAUAUGUUAAGUGGAAAAGGAUGUGGCGUUGCCCAGACAACUAGGAUGUUGGCUUAGAAGCAGCCAUCAUUUAAAGAGUGCGUAAUAGCUCACUAGUCGAGUGACACUGCGCCGAAAAUGUACCGGGGCUAAACAUAUUACCGAAGCUGUGGAUUGUCCUUUGGACAAUGGUAGGAGAGCGUUCUAAGGGCGUUGAAGCAUGAUCGUAAGGACAUGUGGAGCGCUUAGAAGUGAGAAUGCCGGUGUGAGUAGCGAAAGACGGGUGAGAAUCCCGUCCACCGAUUGACUAAGGUUUCCAGAGGAAGGCUCGUCCGCUCUGGGUUAGUCGGGUCCUAAGCUGAGGCCGACAGGCGUAGGCGAUGGAUAACAGGUUGAUAUUCCUGUACCACCUAUAAUCGUUUUAAUCGAUGGGGGGACGCAGUAGGAUAGGCGAAGCGUGCGAUUGGAUUGCACGUCUAAGCAGUAAGGCUGAGUAUUAGGCAAAUCCGGUACUCGUUAAGGCUGAGCUGUGAUGGGGAGAAGACAUUGUGUCUUCGAGUCGUUGAUUUCACACUGCCGAGAAAAGCCUCUAGAUAGAAAAUAGGUGCCCGUACCGCAAACCGACACAGGUAGUCAAGAUGAGAAUUCUAAGGUGAGCGAGCGAACUCUCGUUAAGGAACUCGGCAAAAUGACCCCGUAACUUCGGGAGAAGGGGUGCUCUUUAGGGUUAACGCCCAGAAGAGCCGCAGUGAAUAGGCCCAAGCGACUGUUUAUCAAAAACACAGGUCUCUGCUAAACCGUAAGGUGAUGUAUAGGGGCUGACGCCUGCCCGGUGCUGGAAGGUUAAGAGGAGUGGUUAGCUUCUGCGAAGCUACGAAUCGAAGCCCCAGUAAACGGCGGCCGUAACUAUAACGGUCCUAAGGUAGCGAAAUUCCUUGUCGGGUAAGUUCCGACCCGCACGAAAGGCGUAACGAUUUGGGCACUGUCUCAACGAGAGACUCGGUGAAAUCAUAGUACCUGUGAAGAUGCAGGUUACCCGCGACAGGACGGAAAGACCCCGUGGAGCUUUACUGUAGCCUGAUAUUGAAAUUCGGCACAGCUUGUACAGGAUAGGUAGGAGCCUUUGAAACGUGAGCGCUAGCUUACGUGGAGGCGCUGGUGGGAUACUACCCUAGCUGUGUUGGCUUUCUAACCCGCACCACUUAUCGUGGUGGGAGACAGUGUCAGGCGGGCAGUUUGACUGGGGCGGUCGCCUCCUAAAAGGUAACGGAGGCGCUCAAAGGUUCCCUCAGAAUGGUUGGAAAUCAUUCAUAGAGUGUAAAGGUAUAAGGGAGCUUGACUGCGAGACCUACAAGUCGAGCAGGGUCGAAAGACGGACUUAGUGAUCCGGUGGUUCCGCAUGGAAGGGCCAUCGCUCAACGGAUAAAAGCUACCCCGGGGAUAACAGGCUUAUCUCCCCCAAGAGUUCACAUCGACGGGGAGGUUUGGCACCUCGAUGUCGGCUCAUCGCAUCCUGGGGCUGUAGUCGGUCCCAAGGGUUGGGCUGUUCGCCUAUUAAAGCGGUACGCGAGCUGGGUUCAGAACGUCGUGAGACAGUUCGGUCCCUAUCCGUCGUGGGCGUAGGAAAUUUGAGAGGAGCUGUCCUUAGUACGAGAGGACCGGGAUGGACAUACCUCUGGUGUACCAGUUGUCGUGCCAACGGCAUAGCUGGGUAGCUAUGUGUGGACGGGAUAAGUGCUGAAAGCAUCUAAGCAUGAAGCCCCCCUCAAGAUGAGAUUUCCCAACUUCGGUUAUAAGAUCCCUCAAAGAUGAUGAGGUUAAUAGGUUCGAGGUGGAAGCAUGGUGACAUGUGGAGCUGACGAAUACUAAUCGAUCGAAGACUUAAUCAA